GGGACUUCAGAGGCCAUGAGGAAACCAAGACCCAGGGAACUAACAUGACAAGGCCAAGGUCACACAGGCAGUGACUGCUUCCAUUCUAUUGAAAGCUUCAGGGAUUACAAAGUCCUCUUUAUAUAUUCUCAUUUGAUCUUCAUAAUGCUAAGCAAUUCUUGUGGAGAAAGGGCCAGCCAUCCCUACGAAUUGCUAACCAUGUGUUGCCCACAGGGAAGGCAAGCCAACCUAGAUUACAAGGCACCCUGAGGGAGAGACAUGACGCAGUAUGUGCCAGGUGGAAGAUGACUGGAUACUACACCAGAAGACUGUCACUUAAAGAGUACCCAGAAGGGGACUGGCAGAGAAUGAUUCUCAGCUGUCACUAACUGCUGGGACCCUCACACAGGGCAGGGCCUUCAUCUCCAUCAAUAAAGGGAGAGUCCCAAACCAAUGGGCUUUGGGACAGGGGUUACACAAGUAAAUAACAAUUGCUCUCCUCAAACAUGUAUUCCUUCUGAUAUAUUCCUCCUAUAGCCAAGAAUAGCUACACCUUUAGGGGGAAAAAAAAGGAAAAUACAAGCAACGUUGGCCUCAAGUGUUUAAAAGAUGGACUAAAUUGAACUUGAAUUGAGUAAUAACAUUGCUAAGGCUGAUUCUCAAAUUCCCUCUCUUCUCUAAGAAGCUCUCCCCAUUAUACCUAGAAUGCAAUAGGAUGUAAACUACUUGAAGGCAGGAACUGAUGCACUUUUCUUUUUGUAUCCCUGAUACCUGAUAGAGUUUUGGCAUGUAAUAGGCACUUAGCAAAUGUUUAUUGGUUGGUUGGUUGAUGAUUGAUCUUAAUACUGAGAACUGUUUGAUUUUGGGGACACAAAGAACUUAUUUGUCAGGAGAAUGAAAACCUA